rnacentral:rRNA from 1 species
CUAACACAUGCAAGUCGAACGAAGCCUUCGGGCUUAGUGGCGCACGGGUGCGUAACACGUGGGAAUCUGCCCUUAGGUACGGAAUAACUCAGGGAAACUUGAGCUAAUACCGUAUGAUGUCUUCGGACCAAAGAUUUAUCGCCUAAGGAUGAGCCCGCGUCGGAUUAGCUAGUUGGUGGGGUAAAGGCCUACCAAGGCGACGAUCCGUAGCUGGUCUGAGAGGGUGAUCAGCCACACUGGGACUGAGACACGGCCCAGACUCCUACGGGAGGCAGCAGUGGGGAAUAUUGGACAAUGGGCGAAAGCCUGAUCCAGCAAUGCCGCGUGAGUGAAGAAGGCCUUCGGGUUGUAAAGCUCUUUUACCCGGGAAGAUAAUGACUGUACCGGGAGAAUAAGCCCCGGCUAACUCCGUGCCAGCAGCCGCGGUAAUACGGAGGGGGCUAGCGUUGUUCGGAAUUACUGGGCGUAAAGCGCACGUAGGCGGCUUUACAAGUCAGGGGUGAAAGCCCGCGGCUCAACCCGCGGAAUUGCCCUUGAGACUGUAUCGCUUGAACACGGGAGAGGU